rnacentral:lncRNA from 1 species
GGAGAGUGAUUAAGUUGGAAUAUAUAUUUAUGGUGAUGCUCAGCGGCUUUGGUUGAUUGUGCCAAUGCUAUAUAUAAAAAAGCUGGAAUAUAUUUGCUUAGUAGCUACCAAAGCAAAGCAUUAAAUAAAGCUUUCUUUACCUUCUCUUUUGCAUUUGGCUGGUCCUCAUCAACAUCAGAUAAGAUUACCAUUACAACAUAUCAGAUUCAACUACAGUACCCU